rnacentral:rRNA from 1 species
GCUUCCUACGGGAGGCAGCAGUGGGGAAUCUUGCCCAAUGGGCGCAAGCCUGAGGCAGCAACGCCGCGUGCGGGAAGAAGGCCUUCGGGUUGUAAACCGCUUUCAGCAGGAACGAAAAUGACGGUACCUGCAGAAGAAGGUGCGGCCAACUACGUGCCAGCAGCCGCGGUGACACGUAGGCACCAAGCGUUGUCCGGAUUUAUUGGGCGUAAAGAGCUCGUAGGCGGUUCGGUAAGUCGGGUGUGAAAACUUUGGGCUCAACCCAAAGCCUGCAUCCGAUACUGCUGUGACUUGAGUCCGGUAGGGGAGUGGGGAAUUCCUGGUGUAGCGGUGGAAUGCGCAGAUAUCAGGAGGAACACCGGUGGCGAAGGCGCCACUCUGGGCCGGUACUGACGCUGAGGAGCGAAAGCGUGGGGAGCGAACAGGAUUAGAUACCCUGGUAGUCCACGCCGUAAACGUUGGGCACUAGGUGUGGGCUCUUACCAACGGAGUCCGUGCCGUAGCUAACGCAUUAAGUGCCCCGCCUGGGGAGUACGGCCGCAAGGCUAAAACUCAAAGGAAUUGACGGAAGC